rnacentral:rRNA from 1 species
CGGAGGGUGCGAGCGUUGUUCGGAAUCACUGGGCGUAAAGCGCGUGUAGGCGGCCCACUAAGUCUGAUGUGAAAGCCCGGGGCUCACCCCCGGAAGUGCAUUGGAAACUGGUGGACUCGAGUCCCGGAGAGGAGAGUGGAAUUCCUGGUGUAGCGGUGAAAUGCGUAGAUAUCAGGAGGAACACCGGUGGCGAAGGCGGCUCUCUGGACGGUGACUGACGCUGAGACGCGAAAGCGUGGGGAGCAAACAGGAUUAGAUACCCUGGUAGUCCACGCCGUAAACGAUGAGCACUAGGUGUCGCGGGUAUUGACCCCUGCGGUGCCGACGCCAACGCAUUAAGUGCUCCGCCUGGGGAAUACGGCCGCAAGGUUA